rnacentral:lncRNA from 1 species
AUCAGCCCAACCCCAAUCUUGACUCCAAUAGGAACCAAGCCCAAGACAACAAGGGAUUCAAAGAGUGCCCGACCCAGCACAGACCACACCAAGACACCGAGGGAACGCCAAACCGACAGGCCCAUCUUGCCCUUCAUCAGUCCCUUGCUCUUCGCCAUCGCCUUCCUUCCAUGUGCGUCUCCAAGAACCGAGAUCACACUCGCCAAUUGCCAAAUCAUGGUGAUAUAAACAAACCAAACGACGUACAAGAUCAAGAGAAUGACCGCCACGGCAAUCCCAAGUGCAGGGCCAACUGAAAUUUGCCUCACCAUGAUGAGCCAUACGAUCAGAAGCCCUACAGCCACAACGUUAUACACAAAGAAGAGUGCGAAGCUCCAGAAGAAAGUGACCAAGAG